rnacentral:rRNA from 1 species
ACGUCCUCAUCUUUAAGGUGAGGAUCAAUUGACUGUCAUACUUCCAAGAAAAGCUCGAACUACUGUAAAGCAUUAAGUACCUGUACCGUAAACCGACACAGGUGGGUUGGUAGAGUAUACCAAGGGGCGCGAGAUAACUCUCUCUAAGGAACUCGGCAAAAUGACCCCGUAACUUCGGGAGAAGGGGUGCCAAGUAACUAAAAUUGCUUGGUCGCAGUGACCAGGCCCUGGCGACUGUUUAUCAAAAACACAGGUCUCCGCAAAGUCGUAAGACAACAUAUGGGGGCUGACGCCUGCCCAGUGCCGGAAGGUUAAAGAAGUUGGUUAUUCAUUCGUGGAGAAGCUGACGACUGAAGCCCCGGUGAACGGCGGCCGUAACUAUAACGGUCCUAAGGUAGCGAAAUUCCUUGUCGGGUAAGUUCCGACCCGCACGAAAGGCGUAACGAUCAGGGCACUGUCUCGGAGAGAGACUCGGUGAAAUAGACAUGUCUGUGAAGAUGCGGACUACCUGCACCUGGACAGAAAGACCCUAUGAAGCUUGACUGUAGCUUGGAAUUGGGUUCGGGCUCUUCUUGCGCAGCCUAGGUGGGAGGCGUUGAAAGUUUUCUUUCGGGAAAACUGGAGCCAACAGUGAGAGACCACUCUGGAGGAGCUAGAAUUCUAAUGGCGUUCCUUGAAGCAGGACGCUCGACAGUUUCAGGUGGGCAGUUUGACUGGGGCGGUCACCUCCUAAAAGGUAACGGAGGUGUGCAAAGGUUCCCUCAGGCCGGACGGAAAUCAGCCGUAGAGUGUAAAGGCAGAAGGGAGCUUGACUGCAAGACCUACAAGUCGAGCGGGGGCGAAAGCCGGCCUUAGUGACCCGACGGUUCCAUGUGGAAGGGCCGUCGCUCAACGGAUAAAAGUUACUCUAAGGAUAACAGGCUGAUCUUCCCCAAGAGUUCACAUCGACGGGAAGGUUUGGCACCUCGAUGUCGGCUCAUCGCAACCUGGGGCGGUAGUACGUCCCAAGGGUUGGGCUGUUCGCCCAUGAAAGCGGUACGUGAGCUGGGUUCAGAACGUCGUAAGACAGUUCGGUCCAUAUCCGGUGUAAGCGCUAGAGCAUUGAGAGGAGCCUUCCAUAGUACGAGAGGACCUGGAAGGACACACCUCUGGUAUACCAGUUAUCAUGCCAAUGGUAGACGCUGGGUAGCCAUGUGUGGAGUGGAUAACCGCUGAAAGCAUCUAAGUGGGAAGCCCACCUCAAGAUGAGUGCUCUCCAUCAGGUCACAGGAAGACAACCUGUUUGAUAGGCAGAAGGUGUAAGGCUAGUAAUAGUUUUAGCUGAUUUGUACUAAUAGACCGAUUGAUUUU